rnacentral:rRNA from 1 species
UACGAGAAGGCAGCUACACGCGACGUGAUGCUAAUCCCGAAAGCCUCUCUCAGUUCGGAUUGGAGUCUGCAACCCGACUCCAUGAAGCUGGAUUCGCUAGUAAUCGCGCAUCAGCCACGGCGCGGUGAAUACGUUCCCGGGCCUUGUACACACCGCCCGUCAAGCCAUGAAAGCCGGGGGUACCUGAAGUGCGUAACCGCAAGGAGCGCCCUAGGGUAAAACUGGUGAUUGGGGCUAAGUCGUAACAAGGUAAC